rnacentral:lncRNA from 1 species
CUUAUUCUACUAGAUCCCAACCUUCUUGGUGUCCCAUACCCACUAUACGAAUGCCCAUAUAUCAACAAGUGUCCGAAAUAGGAACAAAACGCAACAGUAUCAUUCAAUAGAAUAGGAACAAUUUGUGUUGGUGAUUAAGCAACAAUGGCAUCUCGUAAAUUUAUGAACGAGAUCAAAGGAUUGAAAGUGAAAGAAGUUCCACACCACAUGAAGCCAUAUUUUUCAAUCAAUUUCAUCAAAAAUUCCAUUGAAAAAGGGUUACACAAUUACCACAUCAAGUAUAUUCAAACCAAUUCCGCUGAACCUCUUUACCAUCUCUGCUUUGGAGGCUUGAUCUUUUCUUAUCUUGUUGCUCUUCCACAAGAGCGUCGCCACCACGCGCAUCAACAACCUCAUUGAUUCCGUUGUUUCAAUUCUCAUCAGGUUUGAUUUCUCAUCAUUUUGUUAUGUAAAGUUUCGUUUUUUAUUUUUUAUUUUUUAAUGGGUCAGUGUAAGAUUCAUGGAUCUUAAAUUUAGGACUAAAUGCCCAAAUUGAAAAAUAUGUCAUAGAAGUUAGAAUUCAUUUUUGGUUGGGAGAAUUCAGAC